UUUCCUUUUUUUAGGCUGAGAACUUGCAUUUGGUAGAGGACAGAGAAGAAAUAGAAGGAAUGAUAACUCGCCUAGAAGAGAAACACGUUGAAGAUCAAAGAAACAUCAAACGCAUGGUUGAAGAAAAAAUGCAAGCACAGAAAAAGCAAGCCGAAACCGCCAUAUCCGCAGCGAGGGAAAGGUCGGCAGCUGAGAAAGAACGAUAUUUACGACAACAAAGAGAACUUCAAACUCAGAUAGAUGCUGCUAAACGAAAACAGCAAGAAGAUGAACAAACCAUAAAGAACUUGCGAGAGAGACUGAGGAGAAUGUGAUUAAGAAAAAGAACUUUAUAAGACGGAAAAUUGAAAAUAUCAUGAAAGGUUAUAAGAAAAACGAAAAAUAGGCAUGCUACGCAUGCAGGAGCUAUUUUUUUGGGAUAUGUAGGUUGAAAUAGGACACUAUAUAACUGAUGCUGGUGUCUGAAUAAUUGUUGGCAAAAAUAAACUGCAUUGGUACAACGCUU